rnacentral:rRNA from 1 species
UACGAAGGGGGCUAGCGUUGCUCGGAAUCACUGGGCGUAAAGCGCACGUAGGCGGCUUUCUAAGUCAGGGGUGAAAUCCUGGAGCGCAACUCCAGAACUGCCUUUGAUACUGGAGAGCUUGAGUCCGGAAGAGGUGAGUGGAACUCCGAGUGUAGAGGUGAAAUUCGUAGAUAUUCGGAAGAACACCAGUGGCGAAGGCGGCUCACUGGCCCGGAACUGACGCUGAGACGCGAAAGCGUGGGGAGCAAACAGG